rnacentral:misc_RNA from 1 species
UGUCAAUCCAUAGGAUUUGGGAAUUUAUCAAAGGUUUAGAAAUAAUCUUCGCCGUUAUAUCGUGAACAAAUUUAUUAAUAAAUCUUAGGUUUAGGUUUACAAUUCUACUUUAUUUCAUGUAUGACAUUUUUUUCAGACUUUCAAUCAGUCAUCACUGUGCCUAGUUCAUCGCAGUACUUAUUCAACUUCCAACCACGAAGGGCAGGCGUUGCAUGGCAUCGCACAAUUCGUUUACAGCAUCUCCGACGUUGGAAGAUAUGCGACCUGUAACAUAAAUAACAAA